GAUCAUGGCUCAGGACGAACGCUGGCGGCGUGCCUAACACAUGCAAGUCGAACGGAACCCCUUGGAAAGAGUUUUCGGACAAUGGAAGAGGGCGUUUAGUGGCGGACGGGUGAGUAACGCGUGAGCAAUCUACCUUUCAGAGGGGGACAACGAGUUGGAAACGACUGCUAAUACCGCAUAACGUAUCUUUGCGGCAUCGUAGGAGAUACCAAAGAUUUAUCGCUGAGAGAUGAGCUCGCGUCCAA
rnacentral:rRNA from 1 species